AAAUCGGUAACACAUUGGGGAGUAGCCGCCCAGUAUUCAGUAGUGAUAUUGGGGCUUACGUCAACAUUCUUGGAGGCCUCUUUGAGGCAUUCAUGGCGUAAGCAGCACCUGCCUGGCCAGACCGAUGAAUUUCGUUCCGCAGGCUGCGGCGACGGAGUUCAUCGUCAUAGAGCCGCAGCCGUCAGGAGC
rnacentral:sRNA from 1 species